UGCACUUAUGUAUGUUUUUGUUUAACUUGUGGACAAAGACUUUAGGAAAGGUGCAAAAAAUAAAUCUUCUUUUGCAACCCAGAACUCAUUGUUCAGUAUGAGUUUUGAUACAUAUCAGAAUGGAUACU
rnacentral:snoRNA from 10 species